rnacentral:rRNA from 1 species
CCUACGGGGGGCAGCAGUGAGGAAUAUUGGUCAAUGGACGGAAGUCUGAACCAGCCAUGCCGCGUGCAGGAUGACGGCUCUCUGAGUUGUAAACUGUUUCUGUAUUAGGGUAAACUCCCUUACGUGUAGGGCCUUGCAUUUAUAAUACCUAUAAGGACCGGCCAACCCCGUGCCAGCAGCGGCGGCACUACGGAGGAUCCAAGCGUUACCCGGAUUUAUUGGGUUUAAAGGGGGCGUAGGCGGUUUGAUAAGUCAGAGGUGAAAUACCGGUGCUCAACACCGGAACUGCCUCUAAUACUGUUGAACUAGAGAGUAGUAGCGGUAGGCGGAAUGUAUGGUGUAGCAGUGAAAUGCUUAGAGAUCAUACGGAACACCGAUUGCGAAGGCAGCUUACCAGACUAUAUCUGACGUUGAGGCACGAAAGCGUGGGUAGCAAACAGGAUUAGAUACCCCGGUAGUC